UACGGGUGGUGCAAGCGUUGUUCGGAAUUACUGGGCGUAAAGGGCUCGUAGGCGGCCAACUAAGUCGGACGUGAAAUCCCCAGGCUCAACCUGGGAACUGCGUCCGAUACUGGAUGGCUUGAAUUCGGGAGAGGGAUGCAGAAUUCCAGGUGUAGCGGUGAAAUGCGUAGAUAUCUGGAGGAAUACCGGUGGCGAAGGCGGCAUCCUGGAACGAUACUGACGCUGAGGAGCGAAAGCCAGGGGAGCAAACGGG
rnacentral:rRNA from 1 species